GGUCUUGUAGUGUAGUGGUUAUCACUCGGGAUUUUGAUUAGUAAGCUUGAUGCUUACGUAAGCUUCCCGAAACCCAGGUUCGAACCCUGGCAAGACCU
rfam:Schizophyllum commune H4-8 unplaced genomic scaffold SCHCOscaffold_1, whole genome shotgun sequence.